rnacentral:lncRNA from 1 species
UAAAGAUUUCUUAGGCCUCAUUAAUUUUUACUCUCUUAUUUCUAGACUUCAGUUCUAUGCAUUAUUUUUCCAUGUCAAUUUACAUAUUUAAUGAUAGGGGAAAAAUGGACAAAAUGAUUAAGAUUAAUGAAUUUUUUAAAAUUAAGACUAUAAUAUAGUUUUUAUAUUCAUGGCUGCAAUCAUAUCUUGAUUUUUAUCUUCAUGCUUGUUCUGACUCAGGUACCCUGCAGAAAAACACCGAUUCUUUCUGUGCACUGCUGUCUCCAGUGAGCAAUAUUUAUGAAUUCACUGCAACUGUCACAAAUCAUUAAGGGCAAAUUGAAGGCAGCAAUAAGCUUUGUCAAAAUUGUUACUGUGGUUAAGCAGCUAUCUAGUAUAUCCACCACCAUAGAUUUAGCUUAAGAAAGUUAACUAGCAAACCUGUUACCCAUCACUGAUGAGAGGGGUUAAAAAGAUUAUUGCUCAAUUAAUCUUUGUAUUGUGCUAAUGAGGAUGUUAAAUGGGUUCAUCCUUGAAUUUGAUUGUUCAUAGAGAAUGUGAAUUCCCUAAAGGGCAAAUGUGGUCAGGUUUCCUAUUAAAAUUAGCUAUGCAACCUAGGAGCUCUUUUAGUCAUUUUGAAGUGAAAAAGGCUAACAGAUAAUUUCGAAAUAACUUAAUGACAUUUCUAGUGGCUACAUGUGAGAUGUUAUUACCAUCUCUCCCGAAGCUCUUUGCUGGUUCUUUGGAAAAGAAUCUUAUAUUACAAUUUUUAAAUAGAUACUGGCUUUUAUUUUCGAUCAAGACUCCUCAGGGUGCAGCAUAAAUUAAACUUGUAGCACUUUAACAAGCAGACUUUGGUGAGGAUGGAAACUAGCACAUGCCAGUAGUAUUAUUGUUCAAUCAAGAAUCCAUUAUGCUAAAAAAAUUCCAUGCAAAAUUUCAUAUAAUUAAACCUGAGGAAGACCAUGUUAGGAGAGAAAGAGAGGUGAGGGAGUUCUAUUUACUCCACACUGGCUUAUCUUGUGGGCUUCUUGGAGAGAGAAUGACCUAGAUGUCAGUUGAUCAAGGCUUGUACCAGCAUUUUGUGGAUCCUGUUAAUUAGUUCAUCUGUAUAUUGUGUCCCAGGACAUCUUUGCUGUUUUUCCUUUCCCUUGUGAAAUGUGAAAUAGACCAAAUAUUACAGAAACCCAAAAGGACUCUGCUAUCUAGUUGGGGUACAUGCAGGGAAGGAAACCUCACAAUUCAACCCAUAAGAAGAAACAGCGGGUUUUUGGCUCUUUGAGAAACUGAGUCUCUGCCUUCUUCCCUUUCUUAUACACAAACAGAGGUGCUUAUCAGAGUGGCUGAUACUUGCUGGCUAUUAACAACAAUCUCCUAUCUCUUCUACCCACACUCCAAAAACCAUCUGUGUGAAAACUUCUUUCUUUCCUCUAUCUUUCUGUAUGGGAAGAGAAAAUUUAUCAGCUUAUGAUACCUAGGACAAGUAGGAGGCAUUUCCUUGAUCUUGAAUGUGUUUUAUGUACGUAAGUUCAAAGUUAUUUCAAUUAUGAAAAUGUUUUCUUCCUGCUGUUAGUACAUAAUGUUGAGUAAGCCUUUUUGGUAUUUUAACUGUGAGAACAGCUUAAAUACUGAGAAUUGAAAUGAACCUGCUGAGCGUAAGUAAUAACAGAUUUUAAUGACUAAUAACAGAUUCAUAAAAUACACUAAUAUAUAUGGUAUAUAUAUUAUUAGCUGGCUUAAGACCUACUUGUAUGGAAACUGUUCUAAACAUAGACAAUUGUAAACUUAAAAUACUGUGUAAAAAUAUUUAAUAAAAAAACACUUCAACCUUACCUUAUUGGUAAAUAGGCUGAAAUUAUGAUUUUAUUUGAAUAAAAAUCCCAA